rnacentral:lncRNA from 1 species
AGGGAUAUGUUGAAAUUGUGAAUAGUGAGUAGGAGGACGGUUCGGAUGAACAUUCUGAAAGGGUUGAAAGUUUUGGGAAUAAGGUUGGAAAGUAUUGGAAGUCUGCUGCUUCCAAGAGAAGUUUAGAUAGUUGCGCCACCCCGGAUUAUAAGUGUUAGAGUACGGAUUAUUAUCCGGUCGGGACUGUGCUUGGGCAGCAUUAAUUUGUUCUUGCACAAAUUCAGGAAAUUGAGCUGCCGA